UAAGUCUGGUGCCAGCAGCCGCGGUAAUUCCAGCUCCAAUAGCGUAUAUUAAAGUUGUUGCAGUUAAAAAGCUCGUAGUUGGACCUUGGGCCUGGACGGGCGGUCCGCCUCACGGCGUGUACUGUCUUGCCGGGCCUUUCCUCUUGGUGAUCUGUUGUUUCGGCAGCAGGGAACCAGGACCUUUACUUUGAAAAAAUUAGAGUGUUCAAAGCAGGCUCGACGCCGGAAUAUAUUAGCAUGGAAUAAUAAAAUAGGACGUGCGGUUCUAUUUUGUUGGUUUUUGGAAUCGCCGUAAUGAUUAAUAGGGACAGUCGGGGGCAUUAGUACUCACAUGCUAGAGGUGAAAUUCUUGGAUUUUGUGAAGACUAACUUCUGCGAAAGCAUUUGCCAAA
rnacentral:rRNA from 1 species